GAAAGUAUAGGGCAUCCUCGUAGUCUGCAUUACGCACGAGGUACUGAACCCACUGUUCAAGAUGUCCGCAGCAAACUCUGCAUUUCUCCUAAUUGUCUUAGUCAUAAUCGCGAUGAUCAAUACCUCGACUACAAGUUCGUGGGCCAUCAGAGGCACAUGCCUAAGCCCAGGAGUACCUUGCAACUAUCCUGACAACAGCACCUGCAGAGGUGUCUGCAUUUGUGGCCUAUUCAGAGAUACUUUUGGCCUGACGCAUAUAUGCAUGGAACCAUCAUAUGUGGGAAGGUAUCAUUGAGGCAAUAAACAUUGAUGCUGGUCUUCACAGAA
rnacentral:lncRNA from 1 species